AAUCAUUUAGAAAAUCACUUUUUCUUUACUGGAUAGCAUUUUUUGGUUGAACAGUUAACGGAGACUGCUCUAGCUACAAGCAACCAUGGCUUGACAAAAUCACAUUCAUAGUACAAUUUGGCAAGGUCUUACCACAGCAAGGGUGAUUUCGAGAAAGCUAGCCGUUACUACAUGGCGUCUGUCAAAGAAAUUAAUAGGCCACAAGACUUUGUGUUGCCAUUUUAUGGCUUGGGACAAGUCCAACUAAAACUAGGAGAUUU